ensembl:lncRNA
UAGGAAGUUUCCAGGUUUUGGAGAGUUAGAAACAGGAACCCUUUAGUGUCCAUGAAGACCUUGUAGACUUUCUGGUAAUGGGGGGCCAGUUUGUGGGGUGCAGUGGUGAAAGUCUUCAAGGCCUUCUCUAAGGAUUGGAGUGGACUCAGCUUUAGGGGACCUUGAGGGUCAUCACAUGGUUUAGGUUUGGGAUUCUCCCUUUGGUGAGGGACUUCUUUAACUUUCAGGAUUGUCACAUUACCUAUUAGAGUUUGAAACUGAAUCAGAAUUAGUGUGGGAUGUGCAGUCUUGAUUGAGAGUCUAUAGGGAUGAGGAGGCACAAGGAAGGGAGUCCCCAUGAGGAUGUCCAUCAUCUCCCUGGGUGUGGCUGCUCUUCAUGGGAUGAUUGAGGCUGAAAAGCAUUCUGAGGUUCAUACCACAGCUAUACACCACCCCACUGAGAGUAAAGACCUUUUUCUCUACUUAGGGGUCACACAGAGCCCCUCCUCCACAAAGCUGUCACACAGAUCACAUAUAUGUCACAUAGAGUCCCUCCUCCACUCAGGUGUCACACAAGCCCCUCCUCCACUCAGGUGUCACAUAGAACCCGUGCUCCACUCAGGUAUUACAUAGAACCUGUCCUCCACUCAGGUGUCAUAUAGAGUCCCUCCUCCACUCAGGUGUCACACAGAUCACAUAGAUGUCACAUAGAGCCCCUCACCCACUUAGGUAUCAUGUAGAACCCAGCCUCCACUCAGGUGUCACGUAGAACCUGUCCUCCACUUAGGUGUCAUAUAUAACCCCUCCUCCACAUAAGUGUCACACAAGCCCCUCCUCCACUCAGGUGUCACAUAGAGUCCCUCUUCCACUCAGGUGUCACAUAGAACCCUCCUCCACUCAGGUGUCACACAAGCCCCUCCUCCACUCAGGUGAACCAUAGAACCUUCCUCCACUCAGGUAUCACUAAGAACCCCUCCUCUGAUCAGAGUCACAGAGACCGCGCUCCACUUGGAUGUCAUAUAGAGUCCCUCCUCCACGCAAGUAUCCCCUUCUUCCUUCAGGUGUCACAUUUAGACCCUCCUCCACUCAAGUGUCAUACCGAUCCUCUCUUCCUUUCACACAGAGACCCUCCUCCACGCAGGUGUCACAGGGGCCCCUUCUUCUCAUCUUGUGUCCCAUAGCUCCCCUCUCCACUCAGGAGUCACACAGAGUCCCUCCUGAACUCAGGAGUCACCCUGAGCCUCUUCUCUGCUCAUGUGUCCCGUGGAGUCCUCCUUCUCUCGUGUGUUACCCUGAGUCCUGCUCACAUGUUGCAGUUGAGUCCAUUCUUCUCUCAGUUAUAAUGCAGAGCCCCUCCCUGACCUAUCGGUCACUUUCUGUCCCUGUUCCACCCGCAUGUUUCACGGAGCCUUCUCACUGUGGUCUCCCACUGGCCCUCUCCCAUCUUGAGCCACACACAGAGCUCCUCUGCCCCUGUGUGUGGUCGUGAGCCCACUCCCCAGCCAUAUGUCACUGGGGACUGUCUACUCAUGUGUCACACCUUCCCUCCCCCCGUGUACGCGUCACACUGAGCUCCGCCCGCACUUGGCUGUCCUCCAUGCACUUUCCGGCGUCACCUGGAGGUACUCUUUACCCUCGUGUCAGGCCAAGCUCUCCCCGCUUCUCUGUCACACUAACCUCUCUCCUGUAUCUAUGCAUCACUGGAAUCCCUCCCCACCAGGGUCACACAUGCACUUUUGUGUCACGCCAAGCCCCUCGUCCGCACGUUGUCACGCCAGUCCCUUCCUGGCUCGUGAGUCACACGGAGCCCCUCUUUACCCGUAUGUCACCCAAGACCCCCUGCUCAUGGGUCACACUGAGCCUCUCCUCCACCCUGGUCACACUAGCACCCCCCAGUUAUGUGUCGUGUGGAUUCCCUCCUGCCGCUCAUGUCGCUCAGAGCUCCUUCCCCACGUCUGUACCACGUUAAGU